rnacentral:rRNA from 1 species
UUAAAUUGAAGAGUUUGAUCAUGGCUCAGAUUGAACGCUGGCGGCAGGCCUAACACAUGCAAGUCGAACGGUAACAGAAAGCAGCUUGCUGCUUUGCUGACGAGUGGCGGACGGGUGAGUAAUGUCUGGGAAACUGCCUGAUGGAGGGGGAUAACUACUGGAAACGGUAGCUAAUACCGCAUAACGUCGCAAGACCAAAGAGGGGGACCUUCGGGCCCCUUGCCAUCA